UCCAAGUGUUCUGUAAUAUCUGGCCUGUGACAAAGGCGAGAUGAGAAAGAGCAACAAUGGAGAAGUACAAAUAACCUUUAUUCUGAUUCAGCUGCAAACAAGAAGAAUAUCCUGUUAUGAUUUCAGGCAAAAUGACUAGCAAAGAACAGCACAGAUUACAGAGUCUGCUGAUGACCUUUGCAUUUUCAUGGGAAGCAGCAGCAUAGAUAAGCUGAAGACUUGAUAACAUAGAGCACUACAAAGCUCUGGUGCUGCAAGGAACUUAACAAUCCUUGCAAAUGCAACUCUCGCUUGAAUCACUACGCCAAUGACAUCAGGAAUUGCUCUGAUAGGCUCUUG